rnacentral:rRNA from 1 species
GAUCAACGCUGGCGGCGUGCCUGAGACAUGCAAGUCGAACGAAGGCACGGGCUUGCCCGGCUCUUAGUGGCGGCCGGUGGCGUAACGCGUAGGUGACCUACCCCGACGUGGGUAAUAACGGCGCGAACGGGUGGCUAAUACCGCAUGUGGCCGCACGUUCAUUCGUGCGAGUGCAGCCGCCAGGCGCUUCGGGAGGGGGGUGCGUCCGAGUCGCCGGUUUGUCGGGUAAGGGCGUACGAAGGCGACGAACGGUAGGAGGGCUGUGAGGCCGGUCACCCAGACUGAGGGGGGGACGCGGCCGGGACUCCUGCGGGAGGCAGCAGACGGGAAUUUUGCUCAAUGGGGGGAACCAUGAAGCAGCAACGGCGCGAGAGGGAUGAAGGCGUUCGGGUAGUAAACCUCUUUUGUCAGGGACGAUGAUGACGGUACCUGGCGAAUAAGCCACGGCUAACUACGUG